rnacentral:rRNA from 1 species
AUUGAACGCUGGCGGCAGGCCUAACACAUGCAAGUCGAGCGAGCGGCGGACGGGUGAGUAAUGUAUGGGGACUGCCCGAUAGAGGGGGAUAACUACUGGAAACGGUGGCUAAUACCGCAUACUAUCGGAUAACCCAUAUGGGAUUAGCUAGUAGGUGGGGUAAAGGCUCACCUAGGCGACGAUCUCUAGCUGGUCUGAGAGGAUGAUCGGCCACACUGGGACUGAGACACGGCCCAGACUCCUACGGAGGCAGCAGUAGGGAAUAUUGGACAAUGGAAGCAAGCCUGAUGGAGCCAUGCCGCGUGUAUGAAGAAGGCCUUAGGGUUGUAAAAUACUUUCAGCAGGGAGGCGGUACCCAAAGAGAAAGCACCGGCUAACUCCGUGCCAGCAGCCGCGGUAAUAC